UACGGAGGGGGCUAGCGUUGUUCGGAAUUACUGGGCGUAAAGCGUACGUAGGCGGCUUUGUAAGUUAGAGGUGAAAGCCCAGGGCUUAACCCUGGAAUUGCCUUUAAGACUGCAUCGCUAGAAUCGUGGAGAGGUAAGUGGAAUUCCGAGUGUAGAGGUGAAAUUCGUAGAUAUUCGGAAGAACACCAGUGGCGAAGGCGACUUACUGGACGCGUAUUGACGCUGAGGUGCGAAAGCGUGGGGAGCAAACAGG
rnacentral:rRNA from 1 species